rnacentral:misc_RNA from 1 species
CCGAGUUUACAACUCCCAAACCCAAUAUGAACGUUACCAAACUGUUGCCUCGGCGGGGUCACGCCCCGGGUGCGUAAAAGCCCCGGAACCAGGCGCCCGCCGGAGGAACCAACCAAACUCUUUCUGUAGUCCCCUCGCGGACGUAUUUCUUACAGCUCUGAGCAAAAAUUCAAAAUGAAUCA